AAGAAUAUUUAUAUUUCUCUUGUAAACAUCCAGACGGCGAGAAAGAUAUUCGGCUGAAUCAGCAAUGUUUGUGGUUAACUUCCGUUUCCUCACUUCCUCUGUAUUUUAGUUCUUACUUCCGUUUCCUUUCGAUUUAUAUUUUUGACUUUUCGAUUUAUUUUUAUGAGCCGCGGCUUUGACUUGUCAUUUGGGAGUUUCGCUUUAUAAAUAGAAGUUUGGACUUGCGUUUAGUUUUCAUAUAUAUCCUUUGAGGUUUGAAAUGUAUUUUGCAUUUUUCAAG